rnacentral:misc_RNA from 1 species
AAGUCGUAACAAGGUUUCCGUAGGUGAACCUGCGGAAGGAUCAUUAACAGAUUCUGCUAGCCAGAUAUCUUACCCCGUGUGAACUGUUCUUUAGACUUGGUGCCCAAGACUCAAGGCUCUCCGAGACGGGCUGCUGGAGGCCUUAAAAUAGCCGACGCGUCUCUCAAGGGUCUCGAGUCUAAGCACCAUCAUUUUUACCCUUUAACUUUGAAUGCCGAGAAACUUACAAAAGACUAGAAAACUUUUAGCAACGGAUCUCUAGGCUCUU